ACGUUUUACUUCGCAGCGGGUGUGCAAGAAAAGCAAGGAACGACCGUGUAAAGGCAAGCACUUAACCCUCUCUUCCUAAUCUUUAAUUCACGUGAAAGACCUCGUGAUUUCCUGUACUUUAUCCUCUCCCUUACUUUAAUUCGGCUCCUAACCUUAUUUGUUAUUCUUAUUCAUUUAUUUUAAUUUAAAUUAAAUCCGAGGCUUCUAGAGUUUUGUUCGUUGUGAGCUUAUGGGGGUUUGUACCGCCCCCACUUCCUUUGGAAAUGAUGCCGAACCAGCCUAGGAAUCAGGUUCCUAGAAGGGCGAGUUUAUUUAUGAUUUUAUCGGGUUUAUUUACAGACUUUCUCAGAUUUAUUUAUGGUUCGGUUAGAGUUAUCGAGCAGUAGGGCAAGGGUUGAUUGUUGGUGACGUUGGGGUAAACUAUUGUUCGGCCCUGAUGUGGACCGUCGGAUGGACACCCCUAGUCACUGGCUGUUGACAGGUGCCACGCACUGCUGAUAAGCUCUGCCGGUAUAUGAUUUACUGCAUGAUUAGAUACAUUAUAUUACUGUUCAUGAUUUGAUAUGCACAUGGGUACGGGAUGCAUAUUGGGAUAUCCAUUUAUUGAGUAUGCUUGGACACAGACAUUCUAGCUUGGUUAGGUUGCAUCCAACGCAGCAUAUGCAUGGCGUGUGGUUUACUAUGUGGGCGGAGCAUGGCCUGAUGCCUGGAUGUAUGGACGUCUUGUAUCACGUUGAUGCUCACUACGCCAUUGCAUUUUUAUGUGCAUUGCAUGGCUACUGGUAGUUAUUAGUUCUUGGACGGGAGUACCGUUCCGAGGGAGCCUAUGGCUCGGUUGUCGGGAGUACCGACGGGGACGGGUGACGGGAGUACUGGCUCGGGAUCGCGUGCGCAGGUUUGUGGAGAUAUUUGUUGCCUUUCAGGGCAGCGGCAGGUUGGUAUGGGACUUGGGUGUCGUGUGUCUUGUGUGGGCCCCAAGGACCGGUAUGUGCUUUUAUUAUGCUCUACUAUUGUAUUGUAGCGUCUCAUGACUUGUGUGUACCUGGGGGUUUAUUUUGGGAAGAGUUUUCUGGUUAUGCUCAGCCUACAGCCUUUCUUUUCUUUAUGCUUGCUGAGUCUCUCGACUCACUUUGUUUUCCAUCAUUCCAAGUAGUGCCAGCGUGGGUCCGAGCAAGGGAGUCAGCGUCUAGCGGCUGAGUCGGUAUGGUGUACAGGCAGUCCCGUCAAUCUCUGUCAACUCUGAUGGUUGUGUAGGGUCUAUUCUCUUAUUGUUUGUACUGUGCCAGGUCAUUUCUCGAGUCUCGUGUGUGUCGGCACAGGAGUUUAUAUUCUUUUACUUAUCUUGUGACCGCUGUGUUAGCGGAGUUACCCGUAGUGUAUGCAUGUGUUUAACUUUGCUUCCGUUGCUCUCAUUUUUAAGUAUGUAUGCCAGGGUGGUCUUUGUCUCGUGUUCAUUCUUUUUUCCCUUCCGUAGGCGCUUCUGUUCGAAUAGACCGGAUGCUUGAAAUAUCCAGGCGGGGAUGCUUACACUUAAAACAUUACAUCUCAAAUAAGGCACAUUUCACUGCCCGUGGAAACAACUUUUAGUAAAGGAGAUGCAAAGCCUAUAUUAAUAAAUGAAAAUAGCCAUAUUUGAAGAUUUAGCGGGUUGAUUAAAGCGGUGGCGGGUUAACUGUAAUAUUUUGGAUGGCUUUUUUGCUUGCGGCAGGUUAAGUUAUGGGCAGUCUGUGUUCUAUAUGUUGUUUUACAUGUAUCAAACUAGAACUAAUUUGGGCUGUUUGGAGAUUUUUUUUUUUUUGUCGAAAUUGUACUUACUCUUUCUAUUAAAAUUAAUUAAUUAAUUAA